AAUAACUGUUGAAUUUCUUAAUUCAGGUAAACAAGUCCCUGUUUGAGGAGUUUGGUGUCACGCACCGAAUCACAUCAGCAUACCACCCUCAGACCAACGGACUGGAUGAGAGGACCAAUCAGACAAUGAAGAGGUCCAUUGGCAAGACCCUUGAUGGACAACAGGAGAGGUGGGAAGAACAAGAAUUUUUUUUUUCAAAUAACUGUUGUGUCCAAGCCUCUUCCAGGUAUUCAUCGUCUGAUGUAUGGACGGGAGCCACGUCUGUUUUCAGAGACCACUGGAGAUCUUCCAGAUGAUUUGUGGACAUUGCUUCUCCAGAUAAGGGGGACAUUGCGAAGUACGUCCAGGCAAGGGCUGAGAG
rnacentral:lncRNA from 1 species